CCCGUUUCACGAAUGGAAGCUCUUAAAACAGUAAUGGUAUAUAACGAUUUAUGUUGAGUUAUAAGAAAACUAUACCGAAAGUUCUAACCAUGUUAAGAAAAGUGAGGGACGAGAUUGAUGGUAAUGUGAACUUCUACAAGAAACAAGUGAGAAUUAAAUUAUAUUAUAUUAAGUCUUCAUAGAUCUAUAAAAUAUGCAUUGUACCAUGUAAUUUAAGAAUUUUUUUUAUGCAUUAUUAAUUUAUAUAUUAUAUGGGGCUUCUUAAAAUUUCCGAAUGUGUAUUAUCUUAUAAAUUUAGCGAAUUAUUAAUUUAGCACGUUGUCCCCGAGUCGGG
rnacentral:lncRNA from 1 species